ACGAGCGAAAUCCACAGCGAGCAGUCGCACGAGGGCCACAGCGAUCGAGCAAGAGGAAAAAGGCAUCGAACCCUAGCCCCAAUCCACAGCCCCGCGCCCCUCACUCCUCCCUCCCUUGUCCGCCGCCACUCCCUCCCACCUCCUCCUCCUGUGCCCUAGGAGCCCCGCCACCGACUGCUACUCCUCCACCGCCUCGCCUCUUCCUCCUCCUCGCCUUCCCAUCGCUUGUCUUCAGGCCGCAGCGGUGGUUCCCGAUCUGAGCCGUCUUCAGGUACGUGGAGCGACGGAGGUCGGCUCCCUCCUUCUCCAAGGUCGCACGACGGGAGAGGACUCAGCCCCGAUGCUCUGCCUCUCCAUGUGUCUCCGCAAGCCAUCGUCUGAUGCCGUCGUUGCCCGCCAUCAUCUUUCUCGCUGCCUGCUUGCUAGAGAGCCAUGGCUUUCCUCGCUGUGGCUGAUGCUUAUGCGUUCAGUUAGGGUAAGGACGUGCAUCCCCUUCCAACAGAUCAAUUUCUCUCAUCGCUCUUCAAGCACUGAUUUGUUCUUCCCUUUCUCUUCUAAUUUUCUUGUUGUUCAUACAACCGCUGCUCGGUUUCUUGCUUCUGCCUCUUCCGUAUGCAUGUCCGCACCGUUUGUUCCAAGAAGCGAAGGCGGAGGUGGAGAUGCGGGAGAGGCCGAGUCCGAGGUGGCAGAGGACGGGCGAUGAAAAUGGCACAGAGUGGUCGCGGGCUCAUUCCGGCGGCCGGCGCACGCAGCCGUGAGGGGUGGGGUGGAUGAGCAAGCGGCGUCGCCGCCGCUGCCUCGUGCCUGCGGGCGAGAAGGUAAGAGGCAGGUAGGGUUGGGGAUUUUCACCAUGCCUAUUUAUUCAGUUUCCUCCGUUCCUAUCCUCCCACAUGACGGUUGAACGCCAACAGGUGGAGAGCGCACACCGCUCCAAUGGAGAAAAACAUGUGAUUCAAAUCAUGUUGUACUAUGUUCUUAUCGUCUUAGUUGAUUGCUCUGUAUGAUAUGGUUGUGUUAGAUUAGUCUACUUUGGUUGCUAAAAUUCCUUGCAGUUUCUAUGUGCUUUUGUGGUCACUUACAUACAUAUGAUGGGUAUUUGCAGUCGUGUGUGUAGUGGACCCUUUUCUGGGUAUGCUGUGCAUCCCCCAAGUAUUCGCCAAUUUAACAUUCACAUUUGAUGUUUGGUCGUGUGUAUAUGCAUUUCAGACGGUGGCAGUUUAAAAUUUUACUAGCAAGGCUUCAAAGAUUGUCAAAUUCUCAGAGUCUACUUGGAAGUUGACAAUACAUGCUAUGCCUCUGUUCAAGAUCUCUUUAUAUGUUUAUAUUUUGAGGUAAUUGGGGAUUGAACUGAACUUCUGCUUGCAGAUGGCAUGCAUAUGUUGAUGUACCAAAUAUCAAGGCAUUGCUAUAGCAGCCAUUGCUUUUGCCUAGCUGCGAUUCCAUCUUGCAUUGAGUACACAACAUCUAUUAUGAAGCAGCAGAUCGCCACCUCCUACCCCCACAGUUUACAGCAAGCAGCAACAAGUUCAUAGUCUGGCCGAGGAGCAAGUACCACCGAGGCCUUCAUCGAGCUCAAGAUGGUACCCUGGAAUGGUGAUAUCGCUCCCCGACCUCUCCCAUCUAUCUAUUUUUGUACUGUACAUGUUUGGUCUGGACAAUGAUGGUUGUAAUGCAUAAUUUAAGUUUCAAAGAAAAAGAAGGGGGCUAUUGGGUUGGACAAGAUGAUGGUUUCUUAAUUUAAUUUUUGUGUUGAUGUUAUCUUACUAAUAUGAAGAAUAAUCAUUCCAUCCUUUUAUCUUCAAAAUCAAAGGAGAAAAUAAUGGGUUCGGACAAUAAAGAUGGGUUUAAUUUUAUUUUUCUUGCUAUAGAUUGCUAACAUGAACAAUUAUAGCUAUGACUGUUGCAUUGCACGGUAUCAUGCACUGUUGCUCCAUGGUGAUGAUUCGUUCAUGCUCCUCUUUUCACUAGAAAUACUAAAAAAAAGUAGUUGCAGUUUUACUUAUUUAUUCAGUUGCCUUGCUUUCCAAAUGUGAGAGGCGUGAGUAGGAACAUCUCCUCUACUGUAUUUAUUUGGUGGCUUACAGUGAUUUGUUCCCUGAAAUACAAAUAGUUCAUACUUCUAAUCAUUUAUGAACAAAUCGGGUAUAGAUAAUGUUUGGUUGCUCUUUGUAUUGUCAAGAAGUAUGUGGUCUGAUGUAUCUUGAGAUUUUGCAAGUCAGUAACAUUGCACACUUUCUAUGGAUUUAUAAUAACACACAAUUCUGUACCUAUAUAUUGGAUUGUUGGUUCAUCAACACCAAAAAUGUUACUGUCUGCUACUUUUUAGUCGCGCAGAUAUAGUAGCUAAUGGUUCUUUGGGGUUUUGUUCAACAGCACUAGGAACUUCUCACGGUGGCAUAAUUAUUUCAGAAGCUCUUUAGAUUCGUAAUGCUCAUCACACCAUGUUGUAGUUAACUAUUGGUUGGGAGAAUAUUUUCAAUCGUAUUGAGAUGUCAAAGGAAGCACAAGCCAAGAUCAAUACUGAUUUUUAUAAUUGCAUUAUAGUUUACUUAUGUGCGUGCUCCUUAGAUGAUUCUGAUUCAGUUCGUGGAAAUUUGAGUGUUUUCUUCUAAUUUGAGUGUUAAGCAGCAUCUAGAACUGCCAUUAUAUAUUUAGUGUAGUAGGUUGAUGCAACUUUGUAACCAGUCAUGGAUUUAAAAUAGGCUUUCUACCUCUUUAUUUUGGUCGGCAUGUUUUCCCAGGAUUUUUUAAAAUUGAUUUGUUGUAUAUUAAUUACAUUUUAGUAGAUUCUUGACUAAGAAAGACUGAACUUUUUAUUCAUGAGGACUAAUACAUAGUUUUCCCUCUGGCUUAUUUGUUUGCUCUCCACACUUUAAUUCUACAUAAAAGUACAUUCUUUUGUUAUUUAUUUAAUAAUGCAAUCUCCACUACCUAUCUUCUUUUGAUAUGAAAAUAAAUCAUUAAUAUCGUACCUUUAUUAAUUUCCCAUACUGUCGAGUCAUGUAUUUAGAGUAGCUUCUAUGAUCUAGCAAAGCAUUGGACUAUUGAACCAACUGUAUAUCUCAUUUCACUCCUUUUCUUAUGUUAUCAAAUACUUUUACUAAAUUUUAUUCAUGGAUGUUGGUUAUAGUGUAUAAUGCAACCAUGCCAGUGACAGGGAGAAGGAGCAGGCGUUGAGUUGUGCAAGCAGCAGGAGCAGUCGCACCCUUCCAAGAAAGGUGAGCAUGGGUCUGUUCUUGCUGGAUUUAUCUCAAGACCAACUAGCACGCCCGCCCGUUUCAUUGAUUCCAUUUGAAGGACCAUUGCCAUUUUUUAUGUCGUUCCUGUCCAGUCAACGCACCAGCUAGAACCAUCGAAUACAUAAACGAUUAUCCUUGCUGACUUGCAAAUCUACACGGGCCAGGAGCUAAAGCGGGUCCUUUGGGAUAAUCGAGCACUUGAAUUUGAGGAAGAGGUAGUGUUUGGAAGGGAUGAGAGACAAGUGAUCAUUGCAAUUUUUGUGGGAACAUUGCCCAAGAUGGCGAAGUGCAGGAUCUGCCGCCACUAUUGGAGACACCUUGUCAAGCACCACGGCUACGCAGAUCGAAGCCGCUGUCACGUGCCGAAGAGUCACCAUCGCCAGCCAUCGGUUUCUUCUGCGGCAAUGGCUAAUCCAGCCCAACUUCAGGCGCGGGCCGGUCUCCGUCGACAAGCACCGUCUUCUGCCACAAGAACCGCCACCCAUUCCGAAUCCCAGCAGUAUUUUCAGGUCCACUACACCAAAGAAAAGCUGGAAGAGUACAUCAAACCAGAUGGUAACACACUCAAGGUCAGACUCGCAAACAUCAAUCUGCGCACCAAUUGUCGUAUCAUGCUGGGAACAGACAAGAGAGCCACAAUAACCACAAACUGGUCGGAGUUCCACCGCCGUGCAAACAUCCAUGAAGGACGUAUCUGCACCUUCCCUUUCAAGGUUACCGCAGAGCACCGCUUGGCUCUCAUCGUCCAUGUCCUCUAGAUGGACCAUCUACAGCAACACGUGUCUUCUGCACGCAUUGUCUAUCAUCGUAAGAACAUCUAAUUUGCCUCUAUGAUAAGAUGAACCUUACUUGUGGUUUCCAACGAUGCCAUACGUUGCCUUUGUACAA